rnacentral:rRNA from 1 species
CCUACGGGAGGCUGCAGUGAGGAAUAUUGGUCAAUGGACGAGAGUCUGAACCAGCCAAGUCGCGUGAAGGAUGACUGCCCUAUGGGUUGUAAACUUCUUUUAUAAAGGAAUAAAGCGAGGCACGUGUGCCUUUUUGCAUGUACUUUAUGAAUAAGGAUCGGCUACCUCCGUGCCAGCAGCCGCGGUAAUACGGAGGAUCCGAGCGUUAUCCGGAUUUAUUGGGUUUAAAGGGAGCGUAGUUGGGUUGUUAAGUCAGUUGUGAAAGUUUGCGGCUCAACCGUAGAAUUGCAGUUGAUACUGGCAGGCUUGAGUACAGUUGAGGUAGGCGGAAUUCGUGGUGUAGCGGUGAAAUGCUUAGAUAUCACGAAGAACCCCGAUUGCGAAGACAGCUUACUAAACUGUGACUGACGCUGAUGCGCGAAAGUGUGGGGAUCAAACAGGAUUAGAUACCCGAGUAGUC